ACUAACAUUGUACAAUAAGUAAUACAAUAUAAAACUUGUGAAUUUAAUAAAUUUCAAUAUCAAUUGGACAUGAAUACACAUUCAAUUCAUUCAUGCGUAGUUAUUCGUUAGUAAACGUGACGUAUAGUGUGCAAGUUUCGACAUGUUUGAAUUGUUGGUGAUGAACGAUUGCUGCAUAGAAUUGUUUGAAUAAUUUAUACUUGUGCCCGUAAAUGAUUGUUUUUAAUAAAAUUAAUAUAUAUGCUUUAAAAUUCGAAAUUAAACAAAUACUAACAUCGUGCAAUAAGUAAUAAAAAAUCAUAUUAUUAUAUGCAAAACGAAUAUGCCACCACUAAUCGCUGUUCGGUAGUGAUGGUGAAGUGCAUCGUACAAGCUGCCACUGCGGAAUAUAAAUGUGAGAAAAACUAAAAUAAUAAAUUAUUUAAAUACUAUAAUAAUCCGCCGAUUUAUCUGGUUCCUAAAGAUAUAAGGCGUUUUAUAAAAAAUACAUAAAUUAAAAAUAUAUAAAUAUGAAAAGUAAAAGAAUAAAACAAGUGAGUGAGAUGUCGCCAACCGCCAUUUGCAAUGUGCCGUGCUCGGAAUAAUUUUCAUUAACUUUGGUUAUUAGCAUAAAAUCAUUACAAAGUAAUCUAAAAGUGUUGCUAAUUAUAUGUUUAACAAAUUUCAACAAAAAUUAUUUAAUAAUAAUAUGUAAAUUAGUGAAGUGAAAUGUAUUAAAAUUAAUUGCAAGUAAGAACUGAUCAAAGCGCUGCUGAGAAAAUAUUACCAACACCUGCUCGUAUAUCACCUUUCUGGCUCCAGCGACGAUUUACUGAUAUUUAAUUGUGCGACGUAAGCGUUAACAAUUGAAUAUCAUUCGGUAUGUACUUUAACAGCUCCGAAAAAGUGUUAUGGUGAGUACCAAAAAAUUCAAUAAAAUGGAAGUAGC